rnacentral:rRNA from 1 species
CACGUAGGGGACGGGCGUUGUCCGGAUUCAUUGGGCGUAACGCGCGCGUAAGCGGCUCGGAAAGUCGGUCGUGAAAUGCCGGGGCUCAACCCCGGGACUGCGUCCGAUACUCUCGAGCUGGAGGCAGGUAGGGGAGAUCGGAAUUCCUGGUGUAGCGGUGAAAUGCGCAGAUAUCAGGAGGAACACCGGUGGCGAAGGCGGGUCUCUGGGCCGAUACUGACGCUGAGGAGCGAAAGCGUGGGGAGCGAACAGG